AUCGACCGGGUCUGUGACAUGGUAGAUCAAUACGGCAGGGAUAUAAAGCCGGCUGGCUGCCUGCCUGCCUCUGCCUCUCUCUCUCCCCGCUUGCCUUGCUUCCUUUUCCCGGAGCCGCACCUAGGCCCCCCACCCCCAUGGACCCCUUAUCCACACGCCUCCGAGGGGCCGGGGCCCCACCCCCACCACCUCCCUGCAGCAGGAGAGCUUAGGGAGACUGAGAGCUUGGACAACCAGAGAGGGGGUCCACAGCUCACCGUGGCUGUCUCUGGAGAGAGAAGGCUAGACAUGGAUCCCUACCUACUCUGAAUCCAAGACUGGAAACAGAUCCAGGCUCAGAGGAAAAGGAGGCAACCAGGGUGGGAUGGAGAGGCCAGGCCCAGAAGAAGAUCAAGUAAAGGAAAGAAGAAGAGGACGAUAGAGAUGGAGCCCAAGGGCAAGGAGGAGGCAAGGAGGGAAACCAGAGACCCGCAGAGGCCGGCAGGGUCCCGAGAGGGGGACCGUGCAGGGAGCAGGGGGCGGGGGGGGGUGUCACAGCUGACAUCCAGGGUCCCCUCUGGGGCCUGCCCGUGGCCUCCCAGCCCUUCCUCACUGGUGCCGUCUAUUUGAAAUCAGGGCCAGGUGCCUGCCCUCAGCCCCUGGGGUUCCGUGCUUGCCAGACGUAGGCACCUGAGCGUUUGUCUGCUCUGGGACUGUCAGAGACGCGAGCCACUCUCACCCCCUCCACGUCUGGAACAUCUCAGCCUGUGGCUGGCAGACACUCCCAGUCCUGGGUGGGUGACAGCUCUCUCCACCCUCCAGGGACAGCAAAGUCAGCCCAAGGGACCGAACAGUCACUUUCCAGCAUCCGCAAGGACAGUGAGGAGCGCCACCACCCCGGCCCAGCCCUCAGCCUCACAGCCAUGCCCUGUGGACCACCCCUGGGGCCGCCCCACCAAGAAGCUGCCCCCACAACAACGAUGACGAUGACAAUGACGAGGACUACGAUGAAGCCUGGCCCUCCCACCCCCAAGGCACAUCCCUAACAGAGCACACACUAUUCCUGGAGCCAAAGCCCCCGCCCAAGACCUGAGGAGUGGCUAACCGGGCCUGGGGGAUCAGGGCAAAUCCCUGGCCCCACCUACUGACUUUUUGGCUCCUGUCUGCAGACAAGCUGCCACAUGGGCCUGCGAUUCCCACAGCCACACGGCCCCCUCAGAGAGAGGUGCCCACCUUGCAGCUCAACCUCCCUCCUCCUUGUGCAGCCCUGGGUUCUCUCCAAGUCACUUCGCCAGAUCCAGCAAUGGAAGCCUUUCACCCACAACUACGCUCCUGCUUCUGAGGCAUUCCAGACCCCCUUGGGGUGUGUGGGUGCCAUAGGAAGGCCCUGGCACUUGUGCCAGAGUCACCUCUGUGACCCCCAGGGCCUGGUUCACACCGAAGGCCACUAGGUCUUUUUGUGGAAGGAUAGGACAGAAGGGAGGGAGGCAAGGUGGGGACAGAGCCCUGCUUCUGCUCAGCACUGGGAGGGCCUCGGAUAC
rnacentral:lncRNA from 1 species